CAAGUUAAUUGAUGGCACAGAGUCGCCGCGUUUUUUCCUGAACCAUUCAGCUUUCUUGUGUUUGAAUAGGAACAAAAUGGAAGUGUAUGAGCAAGGACGAACCAAUCCCAUCCCUUCAACAAAAGAGAAAAGGAGAAAAAAAGGAGAAGUAAAAAGAAAAUCAAGCACAGAGGAAUGGGGAUAGAAGAGUAGGUUUGAACAUCAAAUGAACACCCGGUGUCAAAAACACUCUACAUGCUAUCCUAUCCCCAAAUCAAUGCACCACAUGAAUGAUAACUUGUACAUAGUCCCCGAGAGUGAAACUGAACAUCGUUAACAUACCAUCCCAUCUUUAUGUUUGGGUCACAAAAACCCAAUACAUAUAUAUAACCUCCACACCCCACAUGGGAAUGAAUUUAAUUCAAAUCAUGACACAAGACACACAACUGAUUCAAAAAAAAAAAAAAAAAAAAAAAAAAAGCCCAGUUGCAUAUAUAUAUAUAUAUAUGUAUUGAUUCGCAUAGCUAGACAAGACUCAACUAACAACAGCCUUUUAGUCCUCCCUUCUCUCCAUCUACAUCUACAGGGCGGAAAAAGGUUCCAUUCAUUUUCGCAGUGUCUCUUCUGAAAUAUAUAAUUUGUAUUUGCAUUUUCCAAUUUGCGAUUUGGCUUGCAACCAAGUAUCUAGUUAGUUAAAUCUUUGAUAUCCCUUAUUUUCGCGUUAUAUAACAAGGAUUUUUAGUUACUUCCAUUGUUUAUUAUAUUUACACCCAGACAUUGACUGUGCCGCGGAUAAAUUUGAAGAUCUUCUUCUUCUCUCUUUUUUUUCCCAUUUAUUUAUUCAUUUAUUUGUUCAAUUUAUUUUUAUUUAAAUUUUUUGGCUUCCUUUUUUCUUUCCAAUUUUCUCUCCAUUUGCCCUCUUUCUUGUUUCCCCCCCCCCCUUUCGAACAAAACUUGCAUUUUUCAUGUAUAUGUAAAUAAAUACCUUUUUGCUUCAAAACCAUCCUCAAUACAAAACAAGAAAAAAAAAAGACCCAUCAUAGCUAGAUUUUCGAUUGUUGAAAAAAGAAAAGAAAAAAAGAAAAAAAAGGGAAGCUUGCAUUUAUGAAAUUACGACCAGUGAUGAUAAUAUUUUGUCGUGAGAUGGUUUACUCGAAGGAAAAGAGCAAGUUGGAGAGGAGAGAUCAAGCAAGAUAAGAAGGAGAUGAUUGGGUGAUAAUUUAAGUGUUCCGUAAAAACACAAGGGGAACUGAAGGAGAAAAAAGAGAAGAGAAGAGAAGAAAUGAAAAAAAAAAAAAAAACAGGUAGAUAUAUAUAUCACAGCUGCGCAUGUCCGGGGGGGGAAACGACCAAAAAAAAAAAGUCGACAAAUAACAUUUAUGUGUUGUUCUAAGGAGCAACCAGCCACCCAACCUUUUUUUUUUUCACUCCAACUCAUGCACAUUAGGCGGAGGCGAGGGCGGCGUGACAACGAAAUUCGUGCUAAGUGUUUUCUUCGCUGUCGCAUACGCCUUGGCCCGCGAGGGCUGGCAUUCCGUUGAAUCCAGCUCGACGGGCUGCGGGCCAGGCGCGGCCUCCUCGAAUGGGAAACAGCAGCCCAUCAUCACGGGCGAGACGGGGCUGUGCGUGCAGCACGGAUGAGGAGUCGUGGGACAGGAUACGGAGGCGGAGGCGGCGUCAACGUACCCGUGCGGGGGGGAGUCCACUGUACUCGUCGCGUGACAGCGGGUAUAUAUGGGGCUGGUGAAGUGGGUGCGGGGCGAGUGGACCACGCUCAUGCUCCGCGUGGGUUGGGCGGAGACGGCGUUGGAGCACAGCGGCAUGCAGGUGGGGGACACGAGCGAGCCGUCUGCGGCCGACCAGGCCUGGUUUGUGCAGAAGGAGCGGGAGCGCUGUUCGUCGGCGCCGAGGGUUGAGUAUAGCCGGUCUAUCUUCCCCUUGAGCAGGUCGGCCUUCAUGAUCAGCCGGUCCACCAGCACGGCGUGUGCGUCCUUCAGCGUCUUCUUGACAAAGCUGGCGGCGAAGGUGUUGCAUCGCAUGUCGACGUCUUCUCUGAGGAAGAGGCCUUCACGCGGCACGUUGGUGAGGCCCAGUUCGACCGGCUCCCGCGGCUCGCCCGGCAUGUUCCCGCACACCGUCCAUCGAUUCCGGAUGUCGAGGUUCGUGGGUGCGUAGAUGUGUGUUUGUAGGCCGCGUUGGAGGUCGUGGAAGCAGGCCUUGUAGGUGACGUUGCUCCGUAUUAUGCGGCCGGGGAGAUAGUGGAUGUUGUCUGUCAGCUCAUACCAGGUGCAGUGGAAUUCGUCUGGCGGGGCGCUUGGCGGGGCUUUGCAACGUUUAUGUCUGAUCACCAGCGGGUUCAGCUCUAUCAUCUCACUGUGGGCAUGGAGGGUCUUGAUGACGAGGUCCCGCGGGAUAUAGGAAGGGAGAGGAGUAACUGUCGUGAAGACGAUGCGUUUGAACAUGGCUGUGUUUUGUCUGUCAUUCGAUUGGAUGUUCUUUUCUUGAUAUGAAGGGCUGGAUGCAUGUAGCUUUGAAUCUAGUUUCUUGCAGUCUCCAUGUGCAAGCAUACACCCGGGGUAUAGAGGAGGCGUUUGAUAUGCUAAGAUGCCAGCGGGCCCUUGCGUGGUUCUAUAUACUUUUAGUGAAUAGAGCUGGCCAGAGCGGAGCAGUCAAGGGGCCUGCAAGUGAUAAAGGGGAAGUCAGGAGGCAAAAACUAAAUGGACGAAUCUUUUGGAGGGCAUCCUAUUACAGAGGCUUCGGGUUUGUUCCACGUCACAGAACCCGCCGCAGCCAGGAAACGG
rnacentral:sRNA from 1 species